rnacentral:rRNA from 1 species
AAGUCUGGUGCCAGCAGCCGCGGUAAUUCCAGCUCCAAUAGCGUAUAUUAACGUUGUUGCAGUUAAAAAGCUCGUAGUUGAAAUGAAGGGUAGUUGUGUAAUGAAUACAUUCGUGUAUUUUGUUAUUCUACUACCCUCCUUCUAAAUUCGAUAUAUGAGUAUUAAUUUACUUGUAUAUGGUUUUAGACGUUUACUGUGAGAAAAUUAGAGUGUUCAAAGCAGGCAUUUGCUUGAAUAUAUUAGCAUGGAAUAAUCAUGUAUGAUUUUCAUGAUGUAUUUGAUUGGUUUGGUUCAUGAGAAUAAGAUUAAAAGGGACAGUUGGGGGUAUUCAUAUUCAAUAGUCAGAGGUGAAAUUCUCGGAUUUAUGGAAGAUGAACAAGUGCGAA